AUUGAACGCUGGCGGCAUGCUUUACACAUGCAAGUCGGACGGCAGCACAGAGAAGCUUGCUUCUUGGGUGGCGAGUGGCGAACGGGUGAGUAACAUAUCGGAACGUACCGAGCAGUGGGGGAUAACUAAUCGAAAGAUUAGCUAAUACCGCAUAUAUUCUGAGGAAGAAAGCAGGGGACCAUUUGGCCUUGCGCUGUUUGAGCGGCCGAUAUCUGAUUAGCUGGUUGGUGGGGUAAAGGCCUACCAAGGCGACGAUCAGUAGCGGGUCUGAGAGGAUGAUCCGCCACACUGGGACUGAGACACGGCCCAGACUCCUACGGGAGGCAGCAGUGGGGAAUUUUGGACAAUGGGCGCAAGCCUGAUCCAGCCAUGCCGCGUGUCUGAAGAAGGCCUUUCGGGUUGUAAAGGACUUUUGUCAGGGAAGAAAAGGGCGGGGCUAAUACCCCUGUCUGAUGACGUACCUGAAGAAUAAGCCCGCAACUAAC
rnacentral:rRNA from 1 species